AGAGCGAACGCUGGCGGCAGGCCUAAUACAUGCAAGUCGAACGGACCCUUCGGGGUUAGUGGCGCACGGGUGAGUAACACGUGAAUCAUCUACCUUCGAGUGGGGAAUAACUGAGAGAAAUCUUAGCUAAUACCGCAUAAUACCCACGGGUCAAAGCAGCAAUGCGCUUGAAGAGGAGUUCGCGGCAGAUUAGUUAGUUGGCGGGGUAAUGGCCCACCAAGACGAUGAUCUGUA
rnacentral:rRNA from 1 species